rnacentral:rRNA from 1 species
CUACGGGGCGCUGCAGUGGGGAAUAUUGCACAAUGGGCGCAAGCCUGAUGCAGCAACGCCGCGUGAGGGAUGAAGGCCUUCGGGUUGUAAACCUCUUUUAGCAGGGAAGAAGCGAAAGUGACGGUACCUGCAGAAAAAGCACCGGCUAACUACGUGCCAGCAGCCGCGGUAAUACGUAGGGUGCAAGCGUUGUCCGGAAUUAUUGGGCGUAAAGAGCUCGUAGGCGGUUUGUCACGUCCGCUGUGAAAAUCCAAGGCUCAACCUUGGACUUGCAGUGGGUACGGGCAGGCUAGAGUGCGGUAGGGGAGAUGGGAAUUCCUGGUGUAGCGGUGGAAUGCGCAGAUAUCAGGAGGAACACCAAUGGCGAAGGCACAUCUCUGGGCCGUUACUGACGCUGAGGAGCGAAAGCGUGGGGAGCGAACAGGAUUAGAUACCCUAGUAGUC